GACGAACGCUGGCGGCGUGCCUAAUACAUGCAAGUCGAACGCUGAAGAGAGGAGCUUGCUCUUCUUGGAUGAGUUGCGAACGGGUGAGUAACGCGUAGGUAACCUGCCUUGUAGCGGGGGAUAACUAUUGGAAACGAUAGCUAAUACCGCAUAACAAUGGAUGACACAUGUCAUUUAUUUGAAAGGGGCAAUUGCUCCACUACAAGAUGGACCUGCGUUGUAUUAGCUAGUAGGGGAGGUAACGGCUCACCUAGGCGACGAUACAUAGCCGACCUGAGAGGGUGAUCGGCCACACUGGGACUGAGACACGGCCCAGACUCCUACGGGAGGCAGCAGUAGGGAAUCUUCGGCAAUGGGGGCAACCCUGACCGAGCAACGCCGCGUGAGUGAAGAAGGGUGUCGGAUCGUAAAGCUCUGUUGUAAGUCAAGAACGAGUGUGAGAGUGGAAAGUUCACACUGUGACGGUAGCUUACCAGAAAGGGACGGCUAACUACGUG
rnacentral:rRNA from 1 species